UACGUAGGGUGCGAGCGUUGUCCGGAAUUAUUGGGCGUAAAGAGCUCGUAGGCGGUGUGUCACGUCGGCCGUGAAAACCUGCAGCUUAACUGUGGGCGUGCGGUCGAUACGGGCAUCACUGGAGUUCGGCAGGGGAGACUGGAAUUCCUGGUGUAGCGGUGAAAUGCGCAGAUAUCAGGAGGAACACCAGCGGCGAAGGCGGCGCUCUGGGCUGGCACUGACGCUGAGGAGCGAAAGCGUGGGGAGCGAACAGG
rnacentral:rRNA from 1 species